CCCUCUCAACCAAAUUAAUUACAACAACAAAGUUUCCCCCAAUUUAUUCCCAAACAAUAAUUGGCAUAUUCAUAGUGAGUUAUCAUAAAACAAGCAACUCAACCAGUUCAACAAUUAAUUACAUAACUAAAACAGCGUAUCAGUACCAAACACAACAUAGUUAAACGACAUACAAUCACUCUAAAAAUUUUAUCUAGCUCCC
rnacentral:lncRNA from 1 species